GAUGAACGCUGGCGGCGUGCCUAAUACAUGCAAGUCGAGCGAACAGACGAGGAGCUUGCUCCUCUGACGUUAGCGGCGGACGGGUGAGUAACACGUGGAUAACCUACCUAUAAGACUGGGAUAACUUCGGGAAACCGGAGCUAAUACCGGAUAAUAUAUUGAACCGCAUGGUUCAAUAGUGAAAGACGGUUUUGCUGUCACUUAUAGAUGGAUCCGCGCCGCAUUAGCUAGUUGGUAAGGUAACGGCUUACCAAGGCGACGAUGCGUAGCCGACCUGAGAGGGUGGUCGGCCACCCUGGAACUGAGACACGGUCCAGACUCCUACGGGAGGCCGCAGUAGGGAAUCUUCCGCAAUUGGCGAAAGCCUGGCGGAGCAACGCCGCGUGAGUGAUGAAGGUCUUCGGAUCGUAAAACUCUGUUAUUAGGGAAGAACAAAUGUGUAAGUAACUAUGCACGUCUUGACGGUACCUAAUCAGAAAGCCACGGCUAACUACGUG
rnacentral:rRNA from 1 species